GAUGAACGCUAGCGACAGGCCUAACACAUGCAAGUCGAGGGGCAGCAUUAUUAAAGCUUGCUUUAAUAGAUGGCGACCGGCGCACGGGUGCGUAACGCGUAUGCAACCUACCCAUUACAGGAGGAUAGCCCAGAGAAAUUUGGAUUAAUACUCCAUAGUAUUUACUGAAAGCAUUUUUAGUAUUUUAAAAGAUUCGUCUGGUAAUGGAUGGGCAUGCGUAUGAUUAGUUAGUUGGUGGGGUAACGGCCUACCAAGACGACGAUCAUUAGGGGUUCUGAGAGGAUAGUCCCCCACACUGGUACUGAGACACGGACCAGACUCCUACGGGAGGCAGCAGUGAGGAGUAUUGGUCAAUGGGCGAGAGCCUGAACCAGCCAAGUCGCGUGCAGGACGACUGCCCUAUGGGUUGUAAACUGCUUUUAUAUAGGAAUAAUUGUUUUUACGUGUAAGAAUUUGAAUGUACUAUAUGAAUAAGCACCGGCUAACUCCGUGCCAGCAGCCGCGGUAAUACGGAGGGUGCAAGCGUUAUCCGGAUUUAUUGGGUUUAAAGGGUGCGUAGGCGGGUUCAUAAGUCAGUGGUGAAAGUCUGUCGCUUAACGAUAGAAUUGCCAUUGAAACUGUGGAUCUUGAAUACAGUAGAGGUAGGCGGAAUAUAUUGUGUAGCGGUGAAAUGCAUAGAUACGAUAUAGAACACCUAUUGCGAAGGCAGCUUACUAUGCUGUAAUUGACGCUGAUGCACGAAAGCGUGGGGGAGCGAACAGG
rnacentral:rRNA from 1 species